UAGUGGAAGAACUGGGAUUAGA
rnacentral:miRNA from 1 species